rnacentral:lncRNA from 1 species
AUUAAUAAGAGAAAGGCAUGCUCAGAAGCGAUGAGCCACCUAAAAACCCUUAGGACCACCUGUCCUGCAUCACACUCCUGAUCAACUCCACCCUCAGGAGAUCCUCUACCAGACUAUACCAGAGAAGUCGAAAGCCUGUGCAGGAAUGCAUAGGUGAAGCUGAGUGGAGGGGAUUGUGGGGGGGAGAAAAUAUCUGUUGGUAUGAAGUUACAUAAAAUCCCAGAUUGCUAAAAGUCUAAUAAACCUGGAAAACCAGGAGUUUCCAAACUUGGAUAAAAGAAGCAAAAGCAUCAGCUCUUUGGAUGAUGAAGGGCUGUGAAGAGCCUCUGGCACUACAGCAGCUAGCCAGCAGCAGAGGGAAGCAUCCUGAUCAGUACCAACUUCAGUUCUCCCUGUCCUGUGACGGAAAUGGAUAUUGUCUUCAGCAAUAGGGUGCUCUCAUCUAGCCCUAGAUAAUCUGGAAUGAGGCAGCGUGGGCUAGCUCCUGAUGUGAGUUCUCAGCUUGCUAUUCCAGCAGCCAUCUCCGUGGCCUCUGUUCCUCUCACACUGCCAGAGAUAGAGAAAGGAGAGACCUGACCUGCACUGCAAUAGUGAAAGGUGCCUUCAACGCCACACCUCACCCAGUUGAACUUCCAAUUUGUGAAAGAAAAGGGCCUAGGGAGUGUUCUGUUGCCACGGCAAAUCAUCAUCCCGCUGCAAAGGUGACUUGAGGGGACAGGGGUAGCAGCAGAGUUUGGCAGUGUCUUCCAACUUUCGCAAAGAUGCAGGAAGGAGUAAAAGAGCUGCGGAAUCUUCUCCUGCAGUUUCACAGAUGUGCCAAGGCCAGGUGUGGGGCAGGCUCCUACAUGGAGGCCUUGAGGGGCUAUGGAAUAGAAUUGUGGAAAUAAAGCCUGCCUUGUGUUGGAAA